rnacentral:rRNA from 1 species
AGUGGCGGACGGGUGAGUAAUGUCUGGGAAACUGCCCGAUGGAGGGGGAUAACUACUGGAAACGGUAGCUAAUACCGCAUAAUGUCGCAAGACCAAAGUGGGGGACCUUCGGGCCUCACACCAUCGGAUGUGCCCAGAUGGGAUUAGCUAGUAGGUGGGGUAAUGGCUCACCUAGGCGACGAUCCCUAGCUGGUCUGAGAGGAUGACCAGCCACACUGGAACUGAGACACGGUCCAGACUCCUACGGGAGGCAGCAGUGGGGAAUAUUGCACAAUGGGCGCAAGCCUGAUGCAGCCAUGCCGCGUGUAUGAAGAAGGCCUUCGGGUUGUAAAGUACUUUCAGCGGGGAGGAAGGCGGUGAGGUUAAUAACCUCGCCGAUUGACGUUACCCGCAGAAGAAGCACCGGCUAACUCCGUGCCAGCAGCCGCGGUAAUACGGAGGGUGCAAGCGUUAAUCGGAAUUACUGGGCGUAAAGCGCACGCAGGCGGUCUGUUAAGUCAGAUGUGAAAUCCCCGGGCUUAACCUGGGAACUGCAUUUGAAACUGGCAGGCUUGAGUCUCGUA